rnacentral:rRNA from 1 species
UAGGGAAUCUUCCGCAAUGGACGAAAGUCUGACGGAGCAACGCCGCGUGAGUGAGGAAGGUCUUCGGAUCGUAAAGCUCUGUUGCCAGGGAAGAAUCCCCUGGGGAGUCACUGCCCCGGGGGUUUGACGGUACCUGAGAAGAAAGCCCCGGCUAACUACGUGCCAGCAGCCGCGGUAAUACGUAGGGGGCGAGCGUUGUCCGGAAUUAUUGGGCGUAAAGCGCGCGCAGGCGGUUUUGUAAGUCCGAUUGUUUAAACCCGGGGCUCAACCUCGGGUCGCAAGGGAAACUGCAAGACUUGAGUGCAGGAGAGGGAAGCGGAAUUCCAUGUGUAGCGGUGAAAUGCGUAGAGAUAUGGAGGAACACCAGUGGCGAAGGCGGCUUCCUGGCCUGUAACUGACGCUGAGGCGCGAAAGCGUGGGGAGCAAACAGGAUUAGAUACCC